rnacentral:rRNA from 1 species
AACGAACGCUGGCGGCAGGCCUAACACAUGCAAGUCGAGCGCGCCCUUCGGGGUGAGCGGCGGACGGGUGAGUAACGCGUGGGAACGUGCCCUUCUCUGCGGAAUAGCCUCGGGAAACUGAGAGUAAUACCGCAUACGCCCUUUGGGGGAAAGAUUUAUCGGAGAAGGAUCGGCCCGCGUUGGAUUAGGUAGUUGGUGGGGUAAUGGCCCACCAAGCCGACGAUCCAUAGCUGGUUUGAGAGGAUGAUCAGCCACACUGGGACUGAGACACGGCCCAGACUCCUACGGGAGGCAGCAGUGGGGAAUCUUAGGCAAUGGGGGCAACCCUGAUCUAGCCAUGCCGCGUGAGUGAUGAAGGCCUUAGGGUUGUAAAGCUCUUUCAGCUGGGAAGAUAAUGACGGUACCAGCAGAAGAAGCCCCGGCUAACUCCGUG